rnacentral:tRNA from 1 species
GGGCCCAUAGCUCAGCUGGUCAGAGCACUGGACUCAUAAUCCAUUGGUCGCGGGUUCAAGCCCCGCUGGGCCCACCA